GACAGAGGGUGCAAGCGUUAUCCGGAAUGAUUGGGCGUAAAGCGUCUGUAGGUGGCUUUUUAAGUCUGCCGUCAAAUCCCAGGGCUUAACCCUGAACAUGCGGUGGAAACUAGAAAGCUUGAGUACAGUAGGGGCGGAGGGAAUUUCCGGUGGAGCGGUGAAAUGCGUAGAGAUCGGAAAGAACACCAACGGCGAAAGCACUCUGCUGGGCCGACACUGACACUGAGAGACGAAAGCUAGGGGAGCGAAUGGG
rnacentral:rRNA from 1 species